rnacentral:lncRNA from 1 species
GCGGUAACCUGUGGAGCUGCAGAACUUUAAAACUGAAAGAACGGAGGCCGUGUGAAUUAAUUCUUCCUCCUGCAUCCUUGAAGCCACUGUGCUUCGUUAUGUGUAUAUUGUUAAGUAACAAAAUCAGUUACGAUGUUGGUAAUUUAGGUGUGUGAUGUGGUAGAGCAGGGCAGCUAUUGCCAAGGCUCAUGUUUGCUGGUAAAUGAGAGCAGAGCAGCACACCCUAGCAAAGGCUGGAAAGCAGUUACUGCUGCCCCCGAGCCUUUCAAUCCACAUCUUCUUCCCAUUCUCCCUUCGAUGUACAGGCUUACCUUUGUUUCCUCUUAAGACACACCAGUCGCUAACUCUAGUAUAAGGUCUCAAUUCCACUGUUCUUACAGUUUAUCUGAAAACAACCUUGGGGAAGGAGGUAUCCGUGCCCUGUCCGAGGGGCUGCCGCGUUUUGAGCACCUCCGGAAGAUUGAGUUGAGACUCUGUGGAAUCACUGAUGAUGCUUCAAAAUUACUCUCUCGUGGCUUCCAGCAAUGCCCUGCUGUGGAGGAGAUCAUGUGAGUGUGGGAAUGGGUGGGAAUGGAGAUCACAGGUAUCUCAGGCAUUAAGUAAAAGCCAGAACUUAUUGCCCUCAGUUGGGCUUGGCUGACUCACCGGCUGGGAUUUCUUGUCUGUCUUAGAUUGUCUUGGAACGCCCUUGGUGAUGGAGGAGCCCAAGUGUUGGCCAGCAUCCUCCCAGGGAUGGAAACGCUGAAGAUGUU